GUGGGGAAUAUUGGGCAAUGGGCGAAAGCCUGACCCAGCAACGCCGCGUGAAGGAAGAAGGUCUUCGGAUCGUAAACUUCUAUCCUUGGUGAAGAUAAUGACGGUAGCCGAGAAGGAAGCCCCGGCUAACUACGUGCCAGCAGCCGCGGUAAUACGUAGGGGGCAAGCGUUGUCCGGAAUGAUUGGGCGUAAAGGGCGCGUAGGCGGCCUGGUAAGUCUGGAGUGAAAGUCCUGCUUUUAAGGUGGGAAUUGCUUUGGAUACUGGCGGGCUUGAGUGCAGGAGAGGUAAGUGGAAUUCCCGGUGUAGCGGUGAAAUGCGUAGAGAUCGGGAGGAACACCAGUGGCGAAGGCGACUUACUGGACUGUAACUGACGCUGAGGCGCGAAAGUGUGGGGAGCAAACAGGAUUAGAAACCCGAGUAGUCC
rnacentral:rRNA from 1 species